rnacentral:rRNA from 1 species
AACGGCCGCGGUAUUUUGACCGUGCAAAGGUAGCGCAAUCAAUUGUCUUUUAAAUGAAGACCCGUAUGAAUGGCACAACGAGGGCUUAACUGUCUCCUUUUUCCAGUCAAUGAAAUUGAUCUUCCCGUGCAGAAGCGGGAAUUCUUACAUAAGACGAGAAGACCCUAUGGAGCUUAUUAAACACAAGAACAGAUCAUGUCACUUACCCUAGUAUUACUAGAAGAUAAACUAAAUGACUUCCUGCUCUCAUGUUUUUGGUUGGGGCGACCAUGGAGUAAAAUUUAACCUCCACGCAGAACGAAAAUACAUUAUUUUUCAAUUCAAGAAAAACAAAUCUAAAACCCAGAAUCUCUGACUUUUAUUGAUCCGGCAAAGCCGAUUAACGAACCGAGUUACCCUAGGGAUAACAGCGCAAUCCUCUUUUAGAGUUCCUAUCGACAAGAGGGUUUACGACCUCGAUGUUGGACCAGGACAUCCUAAU